AUUCGCCUUUGGUCUCAAAGAUUAAGCCAUGCAUGUCUAAGUACAACAAUAUUUAAAAGUGAAACCGCAAAGGCUCAUUAUAUCAGUUAUGGUUUAUUAGAUCAUUAACAGUUACUUGGAUAACUGUGGUAAUUCUAGAGCUAAUACAUGCAAUAUAAACAUGAACCUUAUGGAACAUGUGCUUUUAUUAGUCUAAAACCAAGCGAUUUUUUAUAAAAUCGUUAUAAUGGUUGAACUCUAGAUAAUUUGCCAAUCGUAUGGUCUUGUACCGACGAUAGAUCUUUUAAAUGUCUGCCCUAUCAACUAUUGAUGGUAGUAUUUAGGACUACCAUGGUUGCAACGGGUAACGGGGAAUCAGGGUUCGAUUCCGGAGAGGGAGCCUGAGAAACAGCUACCACAUCUAAGGAAGGCAGCAGGCGCGUAAAUUACCCACUCCCAGUUCGGGGAGGUAGUGACGAAAAAUAACAAUACAGGACUCAUAUCCGAGGCCCUGUAAUUGGAAUGAGUACACUUUAAAUCCUUUAACAAGGACCUAUUGGAGGGCAAGUCUGGUGCCAGCAGCCGCGGUAAUUCCAGCUCCAAUAGCGUAUAUUAAAGUUGUUGCGGUUAAAACGUUCGUAGUUGAAUUUGUGCUUCAUGC
rnacentral:rRNA from 1 species